rnacentral:rRNA from 1 species
CUACGUGCCAGCAGCCGCGGUAAUACGUAGGUGGCAAGCGUUGUCCGGAAUUAUUGGGCGUAAAGCGCGCGCAGGCGGAUUGGUCAGUCUGUCUUAAAAGUUCGGGGCUUAACCCCGUGAUGGGAUGGAAACUGCCAGUCUAGAGUAUCGGAGAGGAAAGUGGAAUUCCUAGUGUAGCGGUGAAAUGCGUAGAUAUUAGGAAGAACACCAGUGGCGAAGGCGACUUUCUGGACGAAAACUGACGCUGAGGCGCGAAAGCCAGGGGAGCGAACGGGAUUAGAUACCCCGGUAGUCCUGGCCGUAAACGAUGGGUACUAGGUGUAGGAGGUAUCGACCCCUUCUGUGCCGGAGUUAACGCAAUAAGUACCCCGCCUGGGGAGUACGACCGCAAGGUUGAAACUCAAAGGAAUUGACGGGGGCCCGCACAAGCGGUGGAGUAUGUGGUUUAAUUCGACGCAACGCGAAGAACCUUACCAGGUCUUGACAUUGAKGACAGAACUAGAGAUAG